GAGCGCUUAGAAGUGAGAAUGCCGGUGUGAGUAGCGAAAGACGGGUGAGAAUCCCGUCCACCGAUUGACUAAGGUUUCCAGAGGAAGGCUCGUCCGCUCUGGGUUAGUCGGGUCCUAAGCUGAGGCCGACAGGCGUAGGCGAUGGAUAACAGGUUGAUAUUCCUGUACCACCUAUAAUCGUUUUAAUCGAUGGGGGGACGCAGUAGGAUAGGCGAAGCGUGCGAUUGGAUUGCACGUCUAAGCAGUAAGGCUGAGUAUUAGGCAAAUCCGGUACUCGUUAAGGCUGAGCUGUGAUGGGGAGAAGACAUUGUGUCUUCGAGUCGUUGAUUUCACACUGCCGAGAAAAGCCUCUAGAUAGAAAAUAGGUGCCCGUACCGCAAACCGACACAGGUAGUCAAGAUGAGAAUUCUAAGGUGAGCGAGCGAACUCUCGUUAAGGAACUCGGCAAAAUGACCCCGUAACUUCGGGAGAAGGGGUGCUCUUUAGGGUUAACGCCCAGAAGAGCCGCAGUGAAUAGGCCCAAGCGACUGUUUAUCAAAAACACAGGUCUCUGCUAAACCGUAAGGUGAUGUAUAGGGGCUGACGCCUGCCCGGUGCUGGAAGGUUAAGAGGAGUGGUUAGCUUCUGCGAAGCUACGAAUCGAAGCCCCAGUAAACGGCGGCCGUAACUAUAACGGUCCUAAGGUAGCGAAAUUCCUUGUCGGGUAAGUUCCGACCCGCACGAAAGGCGUAACGAUUUGGGCACUGUCUCAACGAGAGACUCGGUGAAAUCAUAGUACCUGUGAAGAUGCAGGUUACCCGCGACAGGACGGAAAGACCCCGUGGAGCUUUACUGUAGCCUGAUAUUGAAAUUCGGCACAGCUUGUACAGGAUAGGUAGGAGCCUUUGAAACGUGAGCGCUAGCUUACGUGGAGGCGCUGGUGGGAUACUACCCUAGCUGUGUUGGCUUUCUAACCCGCACCACUUAUCGUGGUGGGAGACAGUGUCAGGCGGGCAGUUUGACUGGGGCGGUCGCCUCCUAAAAGGUAACGGAGGCGCUCAAAGGUUCCCUCAGAAUGGUUGGAAAUCAUUCAUAGAGUGUAAAGGCAUAAGGGAGCUUGACUGCGAGACCUACAAGUCGAGCAGGGUCGAAAGACGGACUUAGUGAUCCGGUGGUUCCGCAUGGAAGGGCCAUCGCUCAACGGAUAAAAGCUACCCCGGGGAUAACAGGCUUAUCUCCCCCAAGAGUUCACAUCGACGGGGAGGUUUGGCACCUCGAUGUCGGCUCAUCGCAUCCUGGGGCUGUAGUCGGUCCCAAGGGUUGGGCUGUUCGCCCAUUAAAGCGGUACGCGAGCUGGGUUCAGAACGUCGUGAGACAGUUCGGUCCCUAUCCGUCGUGGGCGUAGGAAAUUUGAGAGGAGCUGUCCUUAGUACGAGAGGACCGGGAUGGACAUACCUCUGGUGUACCAGUUGUCGUGCCAACGGCAUAGCUGGGUAGCUAUGUGUGGACGGGAUAAGUGCUGAAAGCAUCUAAGCAUGAAGCCCCC
rnacentral:rRNA from 1 species